rnacentral:lncRNA from 1 species
CGCCAAUCGGACAGCUCCGGCCACGCCCCCGGGGCGCUAGCCCGCAGCCAAUGAGCAACUAGAGCCCGGCUGGGAGCUGCGCCGGCCAAUCACAGAGGCCGAGGACGCCUUGAAUCUCCGGGCAAGUUAAGUUUGUCUCCGAGGCUCCGAACUGAAGGGAGCUGGCGGGUUAGUUAGGUAGUGAAGUGGGAGGGAAUAUAGUUUGUGCUGCUCCGCCAAUAGGAGAAAGAGGGUGUGUUGUAUGCAAAUUAUCCCGGGGAGCCCAGCCCCUUAUCUAAGGCAGGCCACGCCCCCUUCCCUAGGUCCCUGCAGAAAUGGUGAGGAGGGUGAGAAAAAUAACUGGGAGCUAGAGCUCGCUAGCGGGUCUAAGACUGAGCUAAAAAUUUCCUGAUUUCUUGAGAAAGGUUGGGAAGGGAGGGGGAACUGAAACGUUCAUACCAUCAGGGCAGCGGUUAGGCUUUCUCUCAGCCACAAUCUUAGCUUAGCUGUAAGGAAGACUGCAGUCACGUAGCACUUUGCUUCCAGGGAUCUCAAAGAACUUUAUGCAUCAUUUAUCGUGACCCUUGUUUUACAAAAGACCAGUUACCUGAGGUUUGGGCGGGGGUUAGGGGAUAGAUGUUUGAGGUAUAUUUACACCAUUAAUCGAGUGAGGGGGAAAAAAGACAAAACCUCUGGUUUAGCGGUUUUCUCCUCGAUCUGAAGCCCCUUCUCGCAGUCAUCUCAGCAAUGAAACUUCCUUUAUUUGUCCAGCACGAGAGGGCCAAAGAAACAGGUUUAUCCUCUUCACCCAAAAGCCCUUUCUGAGACGGCUGGCCAGACACACACAGAGCACAGAGCCCUGCUUGGGAAGGAAGGUUCAGAGAACAAAUUGCCUUUUAAAACUGUUGGGCUGGACCUGCCUCUUCCAAAGCUAAAAAUGGUGAGUCAGGAUUUUGGCGUCCAUGCUCUGGGGAGAGAAGGCAGAUGUAAUUGGGGAAAGCUCUGGCUGGCAGGGUGUUGGGGUACAGGCGAGUUGGGGAGCCAGGUCUCCCAAGGGGGCCAGCAAUGCGCGUGCUAGUCGAUUGCGGGCUCCCGACGCGAGACACCCCAAAACCUGCUCCCCAGUGAGAACAAAGGCAGGCGCGGAGCGAGAACCUGAUUGGUGCCCGGUCCUCACCGGUGUCCUCCGGGCCCCGGAGAUAACUUGCUUCACCCACUGGCGCGGAGCUCCGUCUCACUGGAGCCCCAGCUCCCCACCCGGCCUUGGCUGUGACCACACAGGACUGUGCGUUAUGACAUCACCUGUUUUCGCUCUUUAGAACACGAUCAGUAUUCUCGGCUUCUCCUUUUUUAAAGGUCUCUAGUGCACAAGGAUUUGCGAAGGCCUGCCGUUCACAGAAUGAAUCUGUGGAGAUGAUUUAAAAGAACGUGCUUCAACAACAUCAUUCUACCCGGAUUCCAGAGUGAGAUCAGACUCAAGUCUGGCCACAUGGCACAAAUGGACAACCCAUACAUUUGGAGAGACUCCAAGAAAUCCAUCCGAAGCUCUGAAUGGUCCUGGCCCUGUUCCAAAAUUUUACUAACCUUCCACAAAUUGGGAUUCCAGACACGUUCUUACCUUGGCCUCCAGGAUAAUGGAAGCCACAAAAGAGACAGAAAUUAAAAUGUCAGCCCAGCUGGGCCCCACAAUGUGGGCCAGCAAUUACAGUGGAACCCACUGCCUCUUAGAUCACCUUAGUGCAGAACAUCUGUGUUUCCUGCAACAAAGAUAAUAAAAUAAUCCAGAGCCCUGUCUUACAUGUUCCUUAACUCUGCGUAAAUACAGUGCGCUACUUAACAAUAGCAACCAAGAUGUUAAUGCACAACAGGAAAAUGUUCAAAAUCAGGUGAAAAGCAGAGAUCAGAAUUCCAGCAAGCUUUGUAAUUCAGCCACCACCCUCAUCACUCAGGACCUAAAUAACCUGAAAUAUGUGAUCGAGGCUGGAGAGGCAAGUAAAACAUGGCUUUGUUAUUCUCUGCCUGAGAAGGGUAUCACCCAAACCUUCUCACUUACUAAAGAUUCUGACAGAUGAGUAGUAUGCCAUGUCCUUGCAGAUGGAGAAAAGAAUAUCCACAGCAAAGGUGACACCUUCGAGGUCAUACACUUUGUGGGAUCAUGACAGAAGUUCAAAACAUCAACUUGAAAAAGACAAGUGAAACUGAGGACCAAAGUUGGAAGUAUGGGUGACAGAAGGGAUUAAAUGGUGUGGGAAUGAAGACAUUGCCAAUCUCCUCACUUUCUCCUUUUUUAUUCUUGAUAGACCCCACCACUGACAGAAGCUGAAGUAAUCUGUUGUUUUCUGGGCUCUGAAGGUGCUGAUUUCAGUGUCUGUGAUGUUACAUCCGAGAGUCUUUGCUGGGUUUGAAACUGAGUGCUCCAAGCAAGUGGAUACCUUUUCUUCUUCUGCUAUCCCAGGGAAACACUGAGAUUAUUUCAGCAAAAAUAACGUUUCUGCCAAUCUGCAUCAUAACUCAGAGAGGCAGCUGGUCAAGUUAGCAAAGAAAACUGAUAUUUAGUCCUAAAGGAGCUUGGUUAAACUUUCGCUUUGUCUUUUUAUAUUUUGAUACAACAGUAUGGAGAUAGGUUAUCUUCUUACAGUAUUUGUCACCUGCUUUGUGAUUAUUUUUUUACUUGGAUGCCUUCUCCAUGAGAUUAUAUGCUUGAUAAGGACAGUUUUCCUCACCAUUGUAUCAUCAAUACAAUAAACAUUUUUGUUAAGAGAUGAAUAAAGAAAGUCAAUGCAGGGGGCCAGCCCAGUGGCAUAGUAGUUAAGUUUGUGCACUCUGCUUCCUCAGUCCAGGGUUUGUGGGUUCAGAUCCCAGGUAAGGACCUACACACCACUUAUCAAGCUGUGGUGGUGACCCACAUACAAAAGAGAGGAAGAUUAGCACAGACGUUAGGGCCAAUCUUCCUCACAAAUAAAUAAAUAAAAAGCUCCAUAUGAAGGGAGUGAUUAUGACUCUGUUCAUUCAUUCAAUAAAUAUUUAUUGAGCACCUACAAUAUACAGGCACAUCUUCUUUCCAGGCUUUAUGUUUAGACCAUUUUUUGAACUGUUUCUCAUGUCAUGGGAAUUCUGGACAAAUGCUGGUGUUCCUUCCUUAGAAGGACUCCACUGUGUUGAGGCGUCCCCCUUAAAAUACAGCUUCCAGAGCAGAGCAUGAUAACAUCCAUUCAUUAGUGUUACACAUUCUUGAAGUGCCAGCCAUGUGCCAGGCAUGAAGGUAACAGCGAUGAAUCAGAUACAGUUUUGUGCUCAGAGGACUCACUGCCCAGAAGGAGGAGGUUGCCCAGUAAACAAGAUAGUACAGCACAGGAAGCGACAGCAGAACCCGAAUGAUGGAAUGGCCAAUUCUCCUUGGAGAGGGGAAUCUGGAAAUGCUUCCCACACAGGGGAGGUGAAUCAGGAUAAGAGUGUGGACUUCUGACAGGUGGAUGGAGCUGGGAGAGGGUAUUCCAGAAAGAGUCAGCUGCCUGAGCAAAUGCAGGGAGGAAUGAAAUAGCCUAGUGAGUUCAAGGAACUGCAACGGCUUUGACAGGGCAGGAAUGUGGGUUGUGAGAUGGGGGUACAAAAGAGGUAUGACCAGAAAGUUAGGCAGGGUAGAGCUUUGAAUGCCAAACUGAGAAGCUUGGAUUUUUUUCCUACAAGGUGAUAAGGAGUCUCUAAUGUUUCUAGAGAAGGGAGAUAACACGAUUAGGUUUACAUUGUAGAAAGACACUUUGAAGGUGUGUGGCCUGGGGGCUGGACCUCUAGGAAACUGAGUCAGGGAGACCAGCUGAGAGACCAGAUCAUCUGGGUGAGAGAUGCAAUGGGAUUCCAUGUGGGCAAUAGCUGUGAGGAUGGAAAGAAGGGGAUGGUCUAAGGCAGUGAAGACUCAUGGGCAGGCUGUGCUGCAGGACUUGGCUACUCAAAGUGGG